rnacentral:tRNA from 1 species
GGAGAGGUGUCAGAGUGGUCGAAUGUGCCUGAUUCGAAAUCAGGUGUCCUGUCACAGGGACCGGGGGUUCGAAUCCCUCCCUCUCCG